rnacentral:tRNA from 1 species
GUGGUUGUGGCUUAGUGGUAGAGCACAUGCCUAGCAUGUCUGAGGCACUGGGUUCAAUUCUCAGCAGUGCAUA